CAGCAGCCGCGGUAAUACAGAGGGUGCGAGCGUUAAUCGGAUUUACUGGGCGUAAAGCGUGCGUAGGCGGCUUCUUAAGUCGGAUGUGAAAUCCCUGAGCUUAACUUAGGAGUUGCAUUCGAUACUGGGAAGCUAGAGUAUGGGAGAGGAUGGUAGAAUUCCAGGUGUAGCGGUGAAAUGCGUAGAGAUCUGGAGGAAUACCGAUGGCGAAGGCAGCCAUCUGGCCUAAUACUGACGCUGAGGUACGAAAGCAUGGGGAGCAAACAGGAUUAGAUACCCCAGUAGUCCCUGUCUCUUAUAA
rnacentral:rRNA from 1 species